rnacentral:rRNA from 1 species
UGGCUCAGAUUGAACGCUGGCGGCAGGCCUAACACAUGCAAGUCGAGCGGAUGAAGGGAGCUUGCUCCUGGAUUCAGCGGCGGACGGGUGAGUAAUGCCUAGGAAUCUGCCUGGUAGUGGGGGAUAACGUCCGGAAACGGGCGCUAAUACCGCAUACGUCCUGAGGGAGAAAGUGGGGGAUCUUCGGACCUCACGCUAUCAGAUGAGCCUAGGUCGGAUUAGCUAGUUGGUGGGGUAAAGGCCUACCAAGGCGACGAUCCGUAACUGGUCUGAGAGGAUGAUCAGUCACACUGGAACUGAGACACGGUCCAGACUCCUACGGGAGGCAGCAGUGGGGAAUAUUGGACAAUGGGCGAAAGCCUGAUCCAGCCAUGCCGCGUGUGUGAAGAAGGUCUUCGGAUUGUAAAGCACUUUAAGUUGGGAGGAAGGGCAGUAAGUUAAUACCUUGCUGUUUUGACGUACCAACAG